AAAUAACUCACUUCCACCAACGCCAGGAUAUUACGAGCUUUAGCUUAAAACCCAAAGGACUUGACGGUGUCCCAUCCAUCUAGAGGAGCCUGUUCCAUCAUCGAUAAUCCCCGCUACACCUAACCACCCCUUGCCAAUCAGUCUGUAUACCUCCGUCGUAAACUUACCAUGUGAGUGCUCACAGUAAGUUUAAUGGCCACCAUCACCAAUACGUCAGGUCAAGGUGCAGCUCAUGGGGCGGCAGGCAAUGGGCUACAAUUUCUAUACUAGAACAAACAAAACGCUGCAUGAAAUACAGCCGCAAAGGCGGAUUUAGUAGUAAAAAGAAAAUAGCGUGUUCUUUUUAACUAGGCCCUGGGACGUGU
rnacentral:rRNA from 1 species